CAGGUACAGAGAGAAGCCAGGUGGCGACACCGAGCGGAACUCGAAAGCCUGUCUCAGUUCGGAUCGGAGUCUGCAACCCGACUCCGUGAAGCUGGAUUCGCUAGUAAUCGCGCAUCAGCCAUGGCGCGGUGAAUACGUUCCCGGGCCUUGUACACACCGCCCGUCAAGCCAUGGAAGCCGGGAGUGCCUGAAGUAUGCAACCGCAAGGAGCGUCCUAAGGUAAAACCGGUGACUGGGGCUAAGUCGUAACAAGGUACC
rnacentral:rRNA from 1 species